UGAUUUUCAGGCCACUAGGUCAAAGGUCAAGGUCACAGUGACUCAAAAUAGUAAAAUGGUUUCUGGAUGAUAACUCAAGAAUGCUUACGCCUAGGAUCAUGAAACUUCAUAGGUAGAUUGAUCAUGGCUGGCAGAUGACCCCUAUUGAUUUUCAGGUCACUAGGUCAAAGGUCAAGGUCACAGUGACUCGAAACAGAAAAAUGGUUUCCAGAUGAUAACUCAAGAAUGCUUACGCCUAGGAUCAUGAAACUUCAUAGGUACAUUGAUCAUGACUGGCAGAUGACCCCUAUUGAUUUUCAGGUCACUAGGUCAAAGGUCAAGGUCACAGUGACUCGAAACAGUUAAAUGGUUUCCGGAUGAUAACUCAAGAAUGCUUAGGUUUACGAUCAUGAAACUUCAUAGGUACAUUGAUCAUGAUUGGCAGAUGACCCCUAUUGAUUUUCAGGUCACUAGGUCAAGGUCACAGUGACUUGAAACAGUAAAAUGGUUUCCUGAUGAUAACUCAAGAACGCUUAGGCCUAGGAUCAUGAAACUUAAUAGGUACAUUGAUCAUGACUGGCAGAUGACCCCUAUUGAUUUUCAGGUCACUAGGUCAAGGUAACAGUGACUCGAAACAGUAAAAUUGUUUACGGAUGAUAACUCAAGAACGCUUAGGCCUAGGAUCAUGAAACUUCAUAGGUACAUUGAUCAUGACUGACAGAUAACCCCUAUUGAUUUUCAGGUCACUAGGUCAAAGGUCAAGGUCACAGUGACUCGAAACAGUAAAAUGGCUUCCAGAUGAUAACUCAAGAAAGCUUAGGCCUAGGAUCAUGAAACUUCAUAGGUACAUUGAUCAUAACUGGAAGAUGACCCCUACAGAUUUUCAGGUCACUAUGUCAAAGGUCACAGUGACUCGAAACAGUAAAAUGGUUUCCGGAUGAUAACUCAAGAAUGCUUAGGUUUACGAUCAUGAAACUUCAUAGGUACAUUGAUCAUGACUGGCAGAUGACCCCUAUUGAUUUUCAGGUCACUAGGUCAAAGGUCAAGGUGACAGUGGCUCAAAACAGUAAAAUGGUUUCUGGAUGAUAACUCAAGAACGCUUAGGCCUAGGAUCAUGAAACUUCAUAGGUACAUUGAUCAUGACUAGCAGAUGACCUCUAUUGAUUUUAACAUCGCUAGUUCAGAGGUCAAGGUCACAGUGACAAAAAACAGAUUCACACAAUGGCUGCCACUACAACUGGCAGCCCAUUUGGGGGGCAUGCGUGUUUUACAAACAGCCCUUGUUUAUCAUUUAAACUGAAAAACUUUAAUGACAUUUAUUAAUAAAUGUUUAUCUCUGUUCUGUAAUUGAUAAAAAUUGAUAUAAUAUUGAUAUUAUAUUUACAGUAUAUAAACAUGUCUUCUAUGCCAUUAAGUUUAAAGUGGUUAAAACUAAUCAUGCAAAUUUUCAAAGAUUGGAUAAUAUAAAUAAGUGAAUAUUUGAAUACCAAUUUCGGUAUUUGAUGCCAUCCAUACAUUUUUUUAUUUCUAAAUUAAUAUGCAGUAUAUAUUUUUGUUAUGUUUUUGUUAACAAACAUGUUUUUAGACAAUUCUUAAGUAUUUUGUAACCGUUAAUUGAGGUGAAUUAAAAUAUUUAAUUAUC